ACAAAGUGGCUGAUCUGAGUAGAUGCUGCUGGUCCUUGGAAAGCUGCCCUGCAGUGUCCUCAUCUCACUGACACUCUCAGAAUCUUCUUCAUGGAGUUGGCUGGAAUAUAUAUGUAGUAACUGGGCUGGAUCAUCCAAGUUGGAUCACGAAGUUGAAGCCAAAUUUAUUGAAGAUGGCAGAGCAAGACUCAGAAGCAUCAUGUGGUGUAGUGACUGUGGACUCACCAUCCUUCCUAUGUCUGGACUGUGUACCUCUUCAGUAACAUAUGAGAGACAGAAGCUGAUAUCUUGGUCUUGGCUAAACACCAUUUUGUGAGUUUUCUUACAUUCAAGGGUGAACUUAAUCUCAGCGUAUUUGUUUUUGCUGCUUUGUCAGUGAAGCAAUUGUGUUUGGUUCCACAUAUUUUUACUAAAAUUAGAAUGUGAGACAGAGCUGUACAUAAUAACAGAAGGCUUUGUGUUUUUAAAAUAUUUUAGAUGCACAAAAAGAUAUGAAGAAUAUGAUAAAUACUCAGAACAACUACUAAACCUAAAAAAUAAGACAUUUUAAAUAGUUUUGAGUUUCCCAUGUGUCUCUUACUGGUCUCUUUCUCCUCUCCCGUCUACCAUGCCCCAGUGUCCAAGAGGAAUAGCUAUUCUGACUUUGGUGUUCAGCAUUCCCGUGCACGUGUUCACACUUUUCCUGAGAAGGUUAAUAAUAUGGAUUUUUCAGAAUUUUGAAUUUAAUAUAUAGGGCACUACUGUAGUGUGAAUUGUGUCUCCCUUGCCCCCAAUUCAUAUGUUGAAGCUCUAAUUCUCAACGUAAUGGUAUUUACAGAUGGGGCCUUUUGGAGGUAGUUCAGUUUAGAUGAGGUCGUGAGGGAGAGGCCAUCACAAUGGGAUUGGUGUCCUAAUA
rnacentral:lncRNA from 1 species